rnacentral:rRNA from 1 species
GGCCUACGGGGGGCAGCAGUGGGGAAUAUUGCACAAUGGGCGAAAGCCUGAUGCAGCAACGCCGCGUGAGCGAUGAAGGCCUUCGGGUCGUAAAGCUCUGUCCUCAAGGAAGAUAAUGACGGUACUUGAGGAGGAAGCCCCGGCUAACUACGUGCCAGCAGCCGCGGUAAUACGUAGGUGGCGAGCGUUAUCCGGAAUGAUUGGGCGUAAAGGGUGCGCAGGCGGUCCUGCAAGUCUGGAGUGAAACGCAUGAGCUCAACUCAUGCAUGGCUUUGGAAACUGGAGGACUGGAGAGCAGGAGAGGG